UACGGGGGGGGCAAGCGUUGUUCGGAAUUACUGGGCGUAAAGGGCUCGUAGGCGGCCAACUAAGUCGGACGUGAAAUCCCCAGGCUCAACCUGGGAACUGCGUCCGAUACUGGAUGGCUUGAAUCCGGGAGAGGGAUGCAGAAUUCCAGGUGUAGCGGUGAAAUGCGUAGAUAUCAGGAAGAACACCCGUGGCGAAGGCGGCUCUCUGGGACGGUACUGACGCUGAGACGCGAAAGCGUGGGGAGCGAACAGG
rnacentral:rRNA from 1 species